rnacentral:rRNA from 1 species
GGCUCAGAUUGAACGCUGGCGGCAGGCCUAACAACAUGCAAUCGAGCGGUAGAGAGAAGCUUGCUUCUCUUGAGAGCGGCGGACGGGUGAGUAAUGCCUAGGAAUUCUGCCUAGUGGUGGGGGAUAACGUUCGGAACGGACGCUAAUACCGCAUACGUCCUACGGGAGAAAGCGGGGGACCUUCGGGCCUCGCGCCAUUAGAUGAGCCUAGGUCGGAUUAGCUAGUUGGUGAGGUAAUGGCUCACCAAGGCUACGAUCCGUAACUGGUCUGAGAGGAUGAUCAGUCACACUGGAACUGAGAC